rnacentral:rRNA from 1 species
GACGAACCGUGCGAACGUUGUUCGGAAUCACUGGGCUUAAAGGGCGCGUAGGUGGUUCUGUAUGUCUACCGUGAAAGCGUACGGCUCAACCGUAUUUUGUCGGUGGAAACUGCAGGACUUGAGGCUGGGAGGGGCUGGUGGAAUUCCCCUGUGUAGCGGUGAAAUGCGUAGAGAUGGGGGGAGAACACUCGUGGCGAAGGCGGUCUGCUGGGCCGUUGCUGACGCUGAGGCGCGACAGCGUGGGGAGCAAACAGG